UACAUGGGGUGCAAACGUUGCUCGGAAUUAUUGGGCGUAAAGCGCGCGUAGGCGGUUACUUAAGUCGGAUGUGAAAGCCCUGGGCUCAACCUGGGAAUUGCAUUGGAUACUGGCAGGCUAGAGUGCGGUAGAGGAUGGCGGAAUUCCCGGUGUAGCAGUGAAAUGCGUAGAGAUCGGGAGGAACACCAGUGGCGAAGGCGGCUACCUGGACCAGCACUGACACUGAGGCACGAAAGCGUGGGGAGCAAACAGG
rnacentral:rRNA from 1 species